UGCAUUCACUACUGUAAGUCACUCUGGAUAAGAGCGUCUACUAAAUUAAUAAAA
rfam:Salmo salar isolate Sally breed double haploid chromosome ssa06, whole genome shotgun sequence.